UAAUACGGAGGGGGCUAGCGUUGUUCGGAAUUACUGGGCGUAAAGCGCACGUAGGCGGAUUAUUAAGUCGGGGGUGAAAUCCCGGGGCUCAACCCCGGAACUGCCUUCGAUACUGGUAGUCUUGAGGUCGAGAGAGGUGAGUGGAAUUCCGAGUGUAGAGGUGAAAUUCGUAGAUAUUCGGAGGAACACCAGUGGCGAAGGCGGCUCACUGGCUCGAUACUGACGCUGAGGUGCGAAAGCGUGGGGAGCAAACAGG
rnacentral:rRNA from 1 species